rnacentral:rRNA from 1 species
UACGGGGGGAGCAAGCGUUGUUCGGAUUUACUGGCGUAAAGGGCGCGUAGGCGGUCGUGACAAGUCACUUGUGAAAUCUCCGGCUUAACUCGGAACGGUCAAGUGAUACUGUCGGACUAGAGUACAGAAGGGCAACUGGAAUUCUCGGUGUAGCGGUGAAAUGCGUAGAUAUCGAGAGGAACACCUGCGGCGAAGGCGGGUUGCUGGGCUGAUACUGACGCUGAGGCGCGAAAGCCAGGGGAGCGAACGGG